UAUGUUUAUAUUUUUUUCCUGUGUAUAUAUGACUCAGCUGUAAUCUUGUAUCCCACAGAGGGACCAAGGCAUAUGCCUAUGAGGAAAAAGCCACAAAAGAGGCAAAGCAGAAAUAUUGGUUGACUGGGAGCCCUGUCCAAUAUGUGGCAAGGAGUGGGCCCAUUCCUGGCAGCCAAAUGAUUCUCUUCAAAUUAAUGAGAAGAAAUAAAAUGUAGAAUCUGAACUACAUUUUGGUUUCUGCCGGUU
rnacentral:lncRNA from 1 species